rnacentral:rRNA from 1 species
AUUGAACGCUGGCGGCAGGCCUAACACAUGCAAGUCGAGCGGAUGAAGGGAGCUUGCUCCUGGAUUCAGCGGCGGACGGGUGAGUAAUGCCUAGGAAUCUGCCUGGUAGUGGGGGAUAACGUCCGGAAACGGGCGCUAAUACCGCAUACGUCCUGAGGGAGAAAGUGGGGGAUCUUCGGACCUCACGCUAUCAGAUGAGCCUAGGUCGGAUUAGCUAGUUGGUGGGGUAAAGGCCUACCAAGGCGACGAUCCGUAACUGGUCUGAGAGGAUGAUCAGUCACACUGGAACUGAGACACGGUCAAGACUCCUAAGGGAGGCAGCAGUGGGGAAUAUUGGACAAUGGGCGAAAGCCUGAUACAGCCAUGCCGCGUGUGUGAAGAAGGUCUUCGGAUUGUAAAGCACUUUAAGUGGGGAGGAAGGGCAGUAAGUUAAUACCUUGCUGUUUUGACGUUACCAACAGAAUAAGCACCGGCUAACUUCGUG